rnacentral:rRNA from 1 species
ACGCUCGACACCUACGGAGGCAGCAGUGGGGAAUAUUGCACAAUGGGGGAAACCCUGAUGCAGCGACGCCGCGUGGAGGAAGAAGGUCUUCGGAUUGUAAACUCCUGUUGUUGGGGAAAAAGAGGAUGGUACCCAACAAGGAAGUGACGGCUAGCUACGUGCCAGCAGCCGUGGUAAUCUGAGCGGGCUGGCAAGGC